GGCUGGGAGGUGUUAGCGAGCAGGCUGGCCUGGACGAUCUGGAAGGAAGUGAGCAACGGAGGGAGGACCACAAGCUUUGUAUGGGGGACCCCGCCGGGCGGAGCAGCGGGGCAGCAAGUGGGUUCCCGGCACAGGAGGAGGCCCUGGGAAGCUGCAGGCGAGUCGAGGGGCAGGAUUCCUUCUUCUGCUCAGAGCGCAGGUCGGAGCAGGCAGCUAGGAGCCCGCGCGCUGUGGGCCGGAGCCCCGCUGCUCCUGGAACCAGACACGCAGGCUUCCCGGGAAGGGAGAGGAGAAGAAAGGGGGCAGUGUGGGCUCGGGAAAUGCAGCUUGUCGCUGAUUUGUGCCUGAUGCUCGCUGUCCGUCAGCAGCCUCCCUUACACUCUCCCCCCCCCUUUUUUUUUUUUUGCCUUCUCCGUCUUCACUGAGCCUAGGGGAGCCAGCAAAGAUUAAAUGUGCUUUCUCAAAGGCAGCCACUUCAUGCUGCCAUGUCGAACGAGCCAUUAUUAUUUUUAUUUUUGAUAGUAAAGGAAAAAGGAGAAGAGGUAGAUAGAAAGGGAGAGAGAGGAGGGAGAGAGGAGGGCUGGUAGGAUGGUGCUGGACUAGCUGCUCUGAGCGACAGGAGAGGGAGCAGACGGACAGACGGACCGCAGGAGGCCUGCCCCGAAGAGCCCUCGGAGGCGUCGCAGGAGCCUCUUGCUCAGCUUCCAGGACGAUGGGGACGCGGCCAGCCCAGAGCCAGGAGCCGCCUGAGAAGAUGGAGGGAACGCGCUUCCGAUUCCUGGACUGUUGGCCAAAAGCGACCAGGACCGGGCGGGGCCCGCCGGCAGCCGUACCUCCCCGCCCGCCUGACAGCGCGCCGCUGGCCGCCCUGGGCCGGGGCUGCGGCCGGAGCGGACGCCGGAGGCCGGCGCGCACGCGAAGGACCGGGACGAUUGCAGCAGCCUCGGGGCGGUUCCCAGCCCUUAAUUUAAAAAAGAAUUAACGGAACGAUUUCAAAGCCAUCAGCCCCCGCCUUCCUCCACUCCCACCAAAAUCGCCUCCCUUCUCUCUCUCCGGUCCAAGCGCGACCCGGAGCGGCAGCCUGUGCUCCGGUCUGGGCCGGCCCCGCCCUCCCGCCAGCGCGGCCUCCAGGGCAGCCCCGGCCCGAGCGCGGAGCGCCGUCCGCUCCGGUGGAGCCGCGAGGCUGCGGCCGCUCCACUUCCAGCCGGAACUGAGACUCUGCCUGGGAUCGCAGAAGCCCCAGCACCUUUGGGUGUUUCAGUGCAGUGGGUUCUUGGGCUACAACUCCCUCUCCGUAGAGCUGAGCCCUGAAGAUCUGCUACUAGGGAGGAUCCUAGGCCAAGCAGCAGCAGCGACUGGUCUGCCUGCCACUGCCACCUGCUAUGUGCACAGGUGAUGAUGCUUUUUUUUAAAUGUAUUUUAUUGAUUUUUUACAGAGAGGAAGGGAGAGGAAUAGAGAGUUAGAAACAUCGAUGAGAGAGAAACAUCAAUCAGCUGCCUCCUGCACACCCCCCACUGGGGAUGUGCCCGCAACCAAGGUACAUGCCCUUGACCAGAAUCGAACCUGGGACCCUUCAGUCCGCAGGCCAACACUCUAUCCACUGAGCCAAACCGGUCAGGGCGGUGAUGAUGCUCUUGAUGAAAAUCAGAAGACUCAUCACAGUCAGGUCACAGAAGCACCUGAGCAACCAGUGCCAGGGCCCCAGUUUAUGUUUAUAUGUUCAGGAGACCAGAUUCCAAAGGAUGCUCAUGCUGAGAUGACACAGGGUCUGACUUCAUCCCAAUUAAGUAGGCAUGGACGCCAAGGAAAGCUGAUUUAAGCAUUUGACUCAUAAUACACACCUAGAAUAUGGUGGUUUACUUAUUUAUAAUUCUUCAAAUUUAUUUUAAAAGAGGGGUCCAUAUUCUAAAAGAGACAUUUCUGUGGGCUAUAUCUAUGAUGCACCAAAGCAAUACAUUGGUUUACUUUUCAUCUGGGCUUUCUAUUAAGUUACCCAAAGGAGUAAAAAAUAGUGCGAAACAUCUUUCCUUAACACAAUAGCAUUUUAAUUUAUUCACAAAUAAGUCUACCAUACAUGUAGCAAAAGCUUAGCACCCCACCCUCCACUCUGUGUUCACAACAUAAUGAAUUCUGAAAUCUGUAAGAUGCAUAUUUUACUUAACUACUCAUCUAGGAUCCAUUCUUGCAUGCUUGGUCAGAACAGAAAAAUACCUAUUAACAGCAGCAGGUUACUUUACAGGUUCCGGAGCAAAUGUAUGUUAUACUUGCCAUCUAGAGAGCCAAGGUCUUAAUGUAUCCCAAGUGUCUAGGGCAGAAAGCAGUGACAGGAGGUGGAAUAUCUCUUGGUGUACGUACCUAAGUCAUUAUGCAUCCUCAGUGUGUGAGCUUAAUGAAGAGGCUGACAAUAAAGGGUUCAGUUAAAUUAAAAUCCACCUGCAAAGUAUACUUCAUUCAUAACAUCUAUUGUGUAAUAAAAGAAAUAUUAAUACAGCUCUUCCCAAACAUUCUGAUCUGUAAAAUGCGUGGGAUGGGUUCGUUGGUCUCUAACUCUUGUAGCUCCGAGAACUUGUGAAGCUGCUCUAAAGUAGAGGUACAGAACACGCUGGGGCCCUUGACUCCGGAGGUAUUGUAUUAAGACUUGUCCUUUAAAGUUAUAUUCAAUUCCACCUCCAGGUACUGUGUUUACUAACAUGUAGUUGUUUUGAUGCUAAAACAGUAAAGUUCAUUUUUAGGAAAGGCAGUGGCAGAGAGAGGAACAGCUGGAGAAUGAAAAAUGCUCUCAGUUCUAAGCCCACUUCCUGCAACGUAAGCAUAGAAGAAACCCAGACAAGUACCUGCCUCCCUAUUUUAUUUAUUAAAAAUCUUUAUUGUUGAAAGUAGUACAUAUGUCCCCGUUUUCCCCCCAUUGACCUCUUCUAGCCUGCCCCC